rnacentral:rRNA from 1 species
UGCCAGCCGCCGCGGUAACACGUAGGAUGCAAGCGUUGUCCGGAAUCACUGGGCGUAAAGGGUCCGUAGGCGGUUUGUUAAGUCUCCUGUGAAAGUUCAAGGCUCAACCUUGAAAUGUCGGGGGAUACUGGCAAACUUGAGACUGUCAGAGGCAAGUAGAAUUCCCGGUGUAGUGGUGAAAUGCGUAGAUAUCGGGAGGAAUACCAGUGGCGAAAGCGGCUUGCUGGGACAGUUCUGACGCUGAGGUGCGAAAGCGUGGGGAGCAAACAGGAUUAGAUA